CGAGUGGAGGAACUACGAAAUUGAUGACCAAGCUCGAUCGAGUGGAGAUUUCGAAGAUUCAACCAAGAAAUCAAGUUUUGCAGCAAUUUGUUUGAAACAUGGUUGCCAACAGUAUUACUCAUCCUUCUCAUUGGGACGUUGUCAAUAGAAAUCUCUAAGGUAGAACUGUCAGGUAUCUCUGUUCUCCUGGGGACGUUGUCAAUAGAAAUCCUACUCAUCCUUCUCUCACCCGGGGAAGGAUCAUCUGCACUCCUCCAUGAUGUCAGGUAUCUCUGUUCUCCUGUUAUGAGGUUCUUGCCCAAUUUCAUUCCUGGUAUAAAGGUAUCUCCAGAGUAAUCAAAACUUUGCCAAAUGAAAUUUUCCUUCCAGACAUUUUUUUCAUCCUUAUAAUCAAAGCUUUGCCAAAUCAAACUUUCAUUGCUUAUAGUAUCCUCAUCCUUGAUUACUAGAGUACCACCAUUUAAGAGUUGUGCCAUGKGCAUGAUAUUUGUGCUGGAUGCCGAGGAAUUGGAUGACCAAAUGAUGUCUGUGCUGCCACAAUUGACAAGAGACAGGAUAUCUUUGCUGUCCAAUUUGAAAAUGCCUGAGGUAUCGAAGAGUGGAGUUUCCUGGUUAUCAACCCAUACAACUGUAUGAGGUGAUGUGUUCUUAAACCAUAUYCCCAGUAUCGAUUUUCUGAACUUCCUGGGCUAAAGAAACCCAUCUCGAAUUUUUAGUUCUCCGAAACAAUGGUCUCACCAUCUGUGAUGUUUUGAUACACAGCUAUGGUGUCUGCUGAACUACAAGCUGUUAGCAUGAGAAAGAAGGUAACAGAAGGGAGUAMUAUUAUGGCUUGAUUCAUAUCAAUCAACUGAUUGAWUUUUCCUUACAAUUUAUUUGGUCUUCUAUGCAUUMAAAUGCUAAACCUCAUCAAGUGGUGAAUUUUUAGAACUUCAAAUGGGAUUGUGCAAAUAAAACUGAAAGCUAAAAAGACCAAGCCGGCAUAAUUGAAUUGUAUAUCUUCAAUUUUCUCCCUUGCUUUAAAUGGGUAAAUGAUACAGUAAUUAUUCAUCAAGUUGAAGAGUCCACACCAGUAGGACCAGCAGCCACCGUCUUUGUUUAGAGUUUUUAUUUAUUUUUAGUUUAGUUGCUUUUACCUUUUACCACGUCUUCCCACGUUGGAAUCGAUUUGGUCUUCCAUCUCAUUCGAGCAUCUCCAACAGAUUCUCUAAAAUAGARAAAAUGGAGGUUUUGUUCUCUAUUUUGCUCCAACAAGAGAAAACUCCAAGUUUAGAGAAUUCUCUAAAACUUGAUGGAAGGAAAGAGAAAUGAUUUUUUAUUCAUUCCCACGAAUGAGAUUGAAUUAUUAUUAUUUUAUAUAAAUUUGCUAAUGUUAGGUCUUGUGAGCCUGUAAAAGGUUCAUUUAUUCAGCACUAUAAAAGCAAGCRGYUUUCAGCUYAUUCUUCUCUCUUUAUUUUAUUUUUUUGUUUCUGCUUUGUUUUCUUGUUCUUCAGAUCCAGUGGCAGAUUUAAGAAGGGGMCACUGAGGUCCCAUGCCACUAUGAACUUGUUUGUUGUAAUGUAAAUUUUUUACCAUCCUCAACGGUGCUAAAACUAUGAUUCAGUUUGUGCUACCAUUACCAAUAMUGGAGCCAGCUACCUUUGUUGCAGAGCGUUGUCUCUGGAAAACUUGUUAAUAAAUAUGCACUACGAAGUAAAAACAAAAGAGUUGCAUGGAAAUAAACAAGAACAGAGUUGAGGCCUGUGUUGAAUAUAUACACAAAAAAGUCUGGAAAGAUUCUUACUCUUUAAAGAAAGUACCAAAGUUUAUCAUGGUCAACCUCAGUGCAACAUUCGUACCAGCAAAACUUGGGCUCACACGCAAGUUUAAUGAUCUGAAGUCAUUUCAUUCGAAGUUUGGCACCCCUAACGCUUGGUGAUUUUAUUCUUGCAACUAUGGAAUUGUAUAGGAAGUAAAUAUUUGUUUCCUUUCCCACCUAUGGAAAUUUAUCUUGAUCUCUACUAGAAAGAUCAAAGGUUUAACUAUUCUGUWAUGCUGCAUACUACCAUGCCAGAAAACAAGCUGAAAAAAGAACAUUAAGAUACACAGUUCCAUACAGCAUCACGAAGCUUGUUUGGAGCACUAACAUCAAGCUACCRACUGGAUGUGUUUACAGAGACAAAGCCAUGAAACCSAUGAUUAGGAUCUUAAUURGGGAAAUUUGAAGGAGACAGAUGGGAUACUCCACAACAGGUAUGUACAUCACACAUAAACACAUGUAAUCUAUCUAGCAUACAUUAGUGUUAUCAUAUAUUCAUCAAUUGAUGAAACAGAGUCCUGCUCUCGGUAACUUUCUUCGAUGAAAAAAGCUGGMUGUUUCGGUGGAGGMAAAAYACCCUCACUAACRAGCAUCAAAACCACUGACAACAUAGUUGGCCUAUCUUCUGCAUGAUGUUGCACACACAAUAACCCRACAUGUAUUGAUCGUAGUACUUCUGAGACAAUGCAUGAAUUGCGUAAAGAUUCACUCAUGAUUUCAAUGGACUUGUCUUCUUUAUAGAGUCUCCAUGCCUGAAGAAAUCAAACUUCAUAUUUAUAAGUAUGCUAAAAGAGCAAGGUUUAAAGAAUACGCUUAGUUCCUUGUGGAGUUCAUAGGGUUUAGUCUACCAGAAUAACUUACAUGUCCAAGAAGGUUGUCACUGUGAUCUCCAUGAGAGAACCCUCUGUUUUUCUUCCCGCUCACUAUCUCCAGCACAAGAACACCGAAGCUAAAAACAUCUGACUUUAUAGAGAAGCGUCCGUGUACUGCAUAUUCAGGAGAAAUGUAACCGCUGCACAAAGUUCAACGAUAUAAACAUACAGAUUCUUACUAUGUUCCAACAACCUUCUUCGUCUUAGCCAUGGCAUCCUGCCCUACAAACUUUCGAGCAAGGCCAAAGUCGGAUAUUUUUGGAUUCAUAUCACUGUCCAGCAAAAUAUUACCUGCCUUGAGAUCUCGAUGGAUGAUUUGAAGGCAAGAAUCUUGAUGUAGAUAAAGAAUACCUCGAGCCAUACCAUGKAUAAUUUGAAAGCGUUGAGGCCAGUCAAGCAUUGAACUUCUGCUUUCAUCUGCCCAAUAUGAACUACUUAGUCCAUGUAUGCUGCUGAUCUAUGUGUGAAUUUUCCAAGAAAUUCAACAAGAAGACUACAAGAUAUGUGAAAUAUCCAAGAAGCUUCACAAGGUUCCGAUGCUGAAGUUUUGCAAUACAAAUGACUUCAUUCUUGAACUCAUCAAUCCCUUGUUGAGAUGUUUCUGAGAGCCGCUUCACAGCUACAUUUCUUCCAUCUUCCAACACACCCUAAAAGUUUAAGCAUAUGCUAUCGUCGACAGAAGCAGUGCAGCAGAUGAAAUUGUCAGCACCACGAUGAGUACUUCUUUCUUGAUGAAGCGGGAUUGAGAGACCAUGCGGCCUUUUGUUAAAGGAUACAAUAGUUAGUAAUUUGUAGGAUCAAAAUGUGGUGUACCUGCUAACUCAGAGGCUGCCAUUCUUACGUAAAGUUCUUGCUUUUCAUCAUAUUCUCUUAUGUCCAUCAGUUCAUCAAACCAUAGCAAACAUCCACUUCCACCGUUUCUGAUAUCUAAUUGUGCAUAAGCGGUACAAGAGCAAUCCCUUUUGCAAGUCAUCUCACAUUCGGCAAGUGUCAUGCUCACA